rnacentral:lncRNA from 1 species
UGAGGGUAAGUCUCCUGCAGCCAGUGCAUUGUUUUCUCCCAUAGUUCAGCAGUGACUAGACAGAAUAGUAGCAAAUGAUCUCUGGUCUCUGGAUGGUUUUAGCAUAAGAUACAGUGUUGAUCAACACUCAUUCCCAAACUGUGCAAUCUAUUUUUUGUUGGUAAUCUAUCUUGUAAGAACAACCAUAGAUUGAAUGUUGC